CGCGGGGUUCGAGGAAGGAUCGAGUCAUAAUGAUCUAUCAUAAGUUGUCUCACCUUACAUUUCUGCCAGCGGCGGGUAUUUCUACGACUUAAACUCAUAACCUCCCGAUCACAUGACAACAACUUUACUCAUUACUCCAACUCCCCGUCUGAGUCGAGAGUGUAUUAAACUCUACGCUGUAGCUCUGAAAUAGAUGUAAGAUCGACGUACAAUUUAUCUUUCUCCGACUUCAUUUUGUGGAACUAAGGUUAAUAUGUAGGUCGACGUAUACGAUCCAUCUUUCUCCGACUUUAUUUUGUGGGACAACGGUUAGUAUGUAGGUCAACGUACGACCUAUCUUUCUCCG
rnacentral:lncRNA from 1 species